GCACAACGGGACAAGUCAGUCAAGGGCCACACAGGCGCCUGCCUCCACCAGCCUCUCAGGGCGCAGGCUGCUCUGACAAAGGCGACCGCGAGAGCCAGCCCGGCCAAGGCUCCUGGGCAGGUGAAAAGUGUGCUUCUGAGCCUCAGCUGUACGUGGCUGUUUAAAUCAACCAGAAUUAAAUCAAAUGGCCCACUCGCCUCAGCGCUCAAGUGGCCCGUGGUACCUACCGUGCAGGACAUGGGACAUGCGGCCCCCAGAGGUCGGCCACCCCAGCCUCUCCGAGUCCAUCCAGUCCGCACCCCUCUGAUCACAAGCAGGCUAGGGCGCCUCCCAGAAAACCGCCUCCCUCCCUCCCUCGGGCCCUUCGUGUGCCCAGAGCUCUCUGGGCAGCCCCCGCUUCCGUCACAGAGCACAUCAACAUCGGGAAACUACCCGCGAGCCCACCAUCCUGCAAACUCCCAGCGCUGCUCCAGCCACGCCAUCCUGCAAACUCAGAAUGGCUGGUCCUCCUGGCCUGGGACAGCUGCUACCAGGGCCUGCCUUUGUGGACACAGCUGGUGGCUCCUUUGGGUAGCCCCGUAAGGGUGGAGUCACCCCUACUAUGCUUAAGAUGCCCAUCGCCCAGCUGCCAGUCGGGCCCUCCAGUCCGCGGUGGUGGCGGCGGUGGCAGCAGCAGCCUGGGGGCAGGGAGAAGGAAAGGCCUCCUUCGAGGCAGAGGGAAACCGUGCCACUCCCUUCCUGGUGGCCCUUCCAAUUGGCCACAUCCUGAGUGGGCUGGGAGUGGCACCCCAUUCUUCCUGGCAGGGCUGGAAUGUGGAAAACAGAUCCCGGGCCCUCUGGGGUGGCAGGUGGGGUGGGGGUGACACCAGACCUGUCAGGCAGGUCUGUAGGGAGGAGGGGCCUGCCUACCCCACCCCCAGGCCCCAGACCCCUGCGGCCUCCACCCCUCCCCUGCUGCCUGAAACUAGACAACCCGCCUGACACUUUAGUCAGAGAGCACUGGCUCUCACAAGCCAGCACGGGCCCAACAACGUCCAUGAGCAUGGACGCCACGAGGGAGGCCACGGAGUCACACGCUCCAAGACGGGAGAGGAGAAAAGAGCGGAGGAGAACUCGCCAUCACAUGAGAGCUACCACGGGGGACCUGCGGGAACGGUCAAGCAGCAGGCUGUCGGCGCGCCUGUGGUCUCCCCCUCGCCUGCUCGGCCGCACCUCCAGCCGUCAGGAGUCCAGCUUCAGGGAGACGCCGGAAGCUGCAGUCCUGCCCCAGCACUGGGGUGGCCUCCCCAGGGCCGGCGCUGGGGGUGGGAGGGACGCGACCUCAGGCCAUCCCACCCUGACUUCUCCAGCGAAGGACAUGGCCCGUGGCCACUGCCGUCCAGAACAAACUUACGGUGGUAGAUGAUACACCGACUCCGUCAGAAACCCAGGCUACAGGAUGAAGACGGGGGCCCUGCUCUGGAGAAGCCCCUGCCCAGUGAAAGAGCAGAAAGAUUACUGUCCUGCCAGAAUCAGAGACGGAAGGAGAAACACAACCUGAACUUGUCUGACCAACCCAGCCGGCCAAGGUC